CCUGUAGCAGCGCAGAGGAAAAUAAAAAGGCAGCCGUUUAGGAAGUUCAGUUAGAAAAAGAAACUUGGAAAUGUCUGAACUCAAGCAAACAAGAACUGAGCAAAGGAAAAGACAGAAGACCAGGAGGAUUUCUUUGCACCGUCUUUUUGGUUUCCACAAAACACUGGAAUCGGCGUAGAAAAACUGCCAUGAGUGUGUGCUGACAGCAGAAUACAAGAGUGAUCUACAAAAACAUGAACGUUAGGGGUGAUGAACAACAUCUGCUUUAAAUAUUCCCAGCUAUGAAGACUUUAUUUUCUAACUUUGUGAUUUUAAAUUAAACCUUUCUUGGACGAUGUUUAUUUCAGUGCCUUUUAUACCUUUUAAAAAUGCACAAAAAACUAAUUAGUAUAAUAUCUGUACUAAGUGUUUAAUUAAUAUUUAAAAAUACUGCAUAUAGGAUAAAGUCAUUUAUUUUCAACAUACUCCUCAUUAGUAACAGCCAGCAGGGAUUCUAAGCACAUAAGGAAACAGUUUAUCUAAAUGUUUCAUAAAAAAAAGUUUUUAAUUCUUGAGCCUUGAAUUACUAUUGAUUUAUUCACAUAUUUAUUUACAUCUGAACCACUUAAAGCAGUUUUUAGAGUUUUGAGAGAGUUGGACAUUUUUUAAUAUUUUCUUAUCUCUGAGAUAUGGGAGGAAUUCAGACUGCCGAGAGGAAGCCCAGCAAGCCCAUUUAAAGACUGGCACUGAGCCCAGGACAACUGCGCUGCGGUUUGAAGUCCCAAAUCUGAGGACUUUCUGUGGUGCCUUGAGGGCUCGCUCUUCUCUAUUAAUGACUUGGACAUCUGAGUCAAAUUAAACUGUGAACAGAUUUUAUUAGGAGUGCUAAGAUCUCAGGCCGCACUGUGGCACAGCAGACGGCACUCCUGCCUCACAGAUCCACUUUCUUCAGUUCAGUCUGCAUGUUCUCCAGAGGUCUACAUGGAUGUUCUCCCACCUCCCACAGAUGUGUCUGCUGUUCAUCAAUUUGAAAUGGAGCCCACCGGCCCUGUGAUGUUUUACUGAUUCUUGUCUUGUGCCCAGCAGAACUGAGAUGAGAGGAUUAAGACAGUCAGAGAACAUUAUAUU